rnacentral:rRNA from 1 species
GACGAACGCUGGCGGCGUGCUUAACACAUGCAAGUCGAGCGGUAAGGCCCUUUCGGGGGUACACGAGCGGCGAACGGGUGAGUAACACGUGGGUGACCUGCCCUCAGCUCUGGGAUAAGCCUGGGAAACCGGGUCUAAUACUGGAUAUGACUCCAUGACGCAUGUUGUGGGGUGGAAAGCCUUGUGCGGCUGAGGAUGGGCCCGCGGCCUAUCAGCUUGUUGGUGGGGUGAGGGCCUACCAAGGCGACGACGGGUAGCCGGCCUGAGAGGGCGACCGGCCACACUGGGACUGAGACACGGCCCAGACUCCUACGGGAGGCAGCAGUGGGGAGUCUUGCGCAAUGGGCGAAAGCCUGACGCAGCGACGCCGCGUGAGGGAUGACGGCCU